UUCCGUAGGUGAACCUGCGGAAGGAUCAUUACCUAGAGUUUGUAGACUUCGGUCUGCUACCUCUUACCCAUGUCUUUUGAGUACCUUCGUUUCCUCGGCGGGUCCGCCCGCCGAUUGGACAACAUUCAAACCCUUUGCAGUUGCAAUCAGCGUCUGAAAAAACAUAAUAGUUACAACUUUCAACAACGGAUCUCUUGGUUCUGGCAUCGAUGAAGAACGCAGCGAAAUGCGAUAAGUAGUGUGAAUUGCAGGAUUCAGUGAAUCAUCGAAUCUUUGAACGCACAUUGCGCCCCUUGGUAUUCCAUGGGGCAUGCCUGUUCGAGCGUCAUUUGUACCUUCAAGCUCUGCUUGGUGUUGGGUGUUUGUCUCGCCUCUGCGUGUAGACUCGCCUUAAAACAAUUGGCAGCCGGCGUAUUGAUUUCGGAGCGCAGUACAUCUCGCGCUUUGCACUCAUAACGACGACGUCCAAAAGUACAUUUUUACACUCUUGACCUCGGAUCAGGUAGGGAUACCCGCUGAACUUAAGCAUAUCA
rnacentral:rRNA from 1 species